AUUGAACGCUGGCGGCAGGCCUAACACAUGCAAGUCGAGCGAGCGGCGGAAGGGUGAGUAAUGUAUGGGGACUGCCCGAUCGAGGGGGAUAACGACUGGAAACGGUGGCUAAUACCGCAUACUAUCGGAUAACCCAUAUGGGAUUAGCUAGUAGGUGGGGUAAAGGCUCACCUAGGCGACGAUCUCUAGCUGGUCUGAGAGGAUGAUAAGACACAAUGGGACGGAGACACGGCCCAGACUCCGACGGAGGCAGAAGUGGGGAAUAGUGCACAAUGGGCGCUAGCCUGAUGCAGCCAUGCCGCGUGUAUGAAGAAGGCCUUAGGGUUGUAAAGUACUUUCAGCGGGGAGGCGUUACCCGCAGAAGAAGCACCGGCUAACUCCGUGCCAGCAGCCGCGGUAAUUC
rnacentral:rRNA from 1 species